UGGCGCCGUGGAUGUCAUUCUUGUAUAAUAUCGAACCCGGGCCGCCCGCAUGGCAGGCGAGCAUUCUACCUCUGAACCACC